ACAGAUAGCGGGUUAACCGUCAGUCAGUGGACUGUGUCUUUCGGACAUCCUCCGAGAAGUACGGAGACAUGAAAGAAGAGGACCAAAACCCACCGGAGCGCCGGCUCUGCGACUACUGCGCCGCCGCCUCUGCCGUCCUCUAUUGCCGGGCCGACUCCGCCAGGCUCUGCCUCCGCUGCGACCGUGAUGUCCACUCCACCAAUCCCCUCUUCACCAAGCACACCCGCUCCCUCCUCUGCGACCUCUGCCACGCCGCCUCCGCGUCCAUCUUCUGCGAGGCCCACCGCUCCGUCCUCUGCGGCACCUGCGACUGGGACUCCCACGACGGCGUCGUCCACAACCGCCGCCCCAUCGAGGGCUUCUCCGGCUGCCCCUCCUCCUCCGAGAUCCUCGCGCUUUUCGGGUUCGACGAGGGCAAGGAGGGGGCCCUUCUGGCCGGUGACGAUGGUGGGUUCGCGGAUUCGCUGCUCUGGGAGACUCCUGCGUUCGUAAGCCUCGACGAUUUGAUUGCGUCGGAGGAGGAUUUUGGUGGGUUGCAGGCAUUUGACGUUCCCCCACUCCCAAAGAAUCGAAACGCGACUUGCGGAAAACACAAGGAAGAGAUUCUCCGGCAGAUUCGUUUACUGGCGACUUCCGAAACUUGCUUGAACUUUGAAAACGUGGACGCCUUCGAGCCCGUCCGUGACGAUCAGUUCCUGGAUUUAAACCCUGCUUCAAUUACCGGGAAUCCCGAUACAGGAUGCGAGGGUCAUGGGGACCCCUUUGCAGUUCCCGAUCAUGAGGCAGUUACGUUUCAGUGGCUUAGCGACGAUGGAGACAUGGGAAACCAAGCAUCCAAUUCGUUGGCCUUUUUAAGUAGCUACCAUGACGGGAAUCUUACAAAUCCUGAGAAGCAGCCUCAAGUCGGCAGUCUAAGUUGUGGUAAUGAAUCUGCUGAAGGACAGCAAGAGAAUCCCGUGACUGUAAAUUCUCCACCUGUUCAACCUAGGGCUGUUCAAUAUGAUCUAAACAGUCAGGAAAGAGAAUCAGCGAUUUCGAGAUACAAGGAGAAGAGGAAGACGAGGAGGUAUAGAAGUGUCUCAUCUGUCUUCAAGAAUGAAAGCGAUCUACAUUUGAACUUUGAAGUAUGAGAAACACAUAAGAUAUGAAUCCCGGAAGGUUCGGGCUGAAAGCAGGACUCGAGUAAGGGGGCGUUUUGCGAAGAUCGAACAUCAUCUGUGAAUAUUGUUGUGGUGACUGCCCCAAAAGGCUUAUGGAUGGAGGAACAUUUGGGGCCUCUUUCCAUGGCCAGAUAGAGCAGAGCAGAGGCACAAGCACGUUUCUGGGUCCGGAAUGGUAAAGAAAACUGGGGGAAGCAUCAGACCCGAAGAAUUUGCUCGUAGGUUUAUGACCUUGGCAGAUGAGUUUGUCUUAGGUUCAUUGCGCGGCCUUGCUAUUUUGUUAGUUCAGGUAAAUUUUAUCGCUACUAUAAGGGAAAGGCUGCCGCUGUCCUUUUGGCUAGAGCAAACUUGUAGAAUUCUGUUUAGUAUUGUGUGUAGUCUUUUUGUACAGACAAUGACAUAAGAAGGUCUGUAUGUGUUGAUAAUUGAUAAUCUAUCCUGCAUUUGUCGGUCGA